CACUAAGCGCUUAGCUGAUGACACACCACAACUGCGAACUGGUGCAGUUCUUUCUGUCCUGCAGUCAGCUAGGAUUUACUCGAGGGCACACCCUGGCUUCUGCACUGAGGCACUCAGCACACCCAGGUUAAAAGAUAAGGGAUGGGCUGGGAAUAUGGCCUAAUG